UCACGUCUGUUUGGUUGAACAGCCACCAAGUUGACUUGGAUGUCAGCGCCUGUUGUCAUCAGAACCUGGUUCUUGUGCUGCCACAUCAUUUUUGGUGGUGGCGCUGUCGUCACCUCCCAACGCUUGCGCUCCCCUAGUUCCCAUUCAAGAUGGUGCUGCCACGGACUUUGGCUCGUGGGGGUGCCGUCGCUACUGACAAAGCCUGUGCUCCCCGUCGUCCCUGUUGAAAUUGUGGCUGGGACUUGGAGAGGGUUCGCUGCCACAGCCGGAUCCAGUGUUACAUUCCUGUGGCUUUUUGGUUGUUUCCCAAUUAUUGAAGGGAGUUGCAGGCUUAUCAUGGGCGACACAGUGCUUUGCUCGCACCUUCACGGAGUACAGCAAUGUGGGGAAGCAAGUCGAGGACAGCCUCUCUCGAUUUCUGUCCCGGGGGCGCUAUGCUCUUCCAGGACCAAGCAAGAAACACAGUGCAGAGAGGCAAGGAGGUAAAAUAAAGGGAGUAAAGCAAAAGGAACAGGGUAUGUGUUCCUAGUAGUCAUGCCGGCCACCUUGAGUGGCAGUGUUUGGGCAUAAGAACCAAGAAGGAAAUUCAUGAAGCCUGUAAUUCUAACACAUAUAUACUUUUGGACGUUCGAUAGGACCGGUUUCCGUGAACAUAACAGCCGAGAAAACAUCUGACACCUUACAGACAUGUCAGGAAGCAAAGAAAG
rnacentral:misc_RNA from 1 species